rnacentral:rRNA from 1 species
UACGUAGGGGGCAAGCGUUAUCCGGAUUUACUGGGUGUAAAGGGGGCGCAGACGGCGAUGCAAGCCAGGAGUGAAAGCCCGGGGCCCAACCCCGGGACUGCUCUUGGAACUGCGUGGCUGGAGUGCAGGAGGGGCAGGCGGAAUUCCUGGUGUAGCGGUGAAAUGCGUAGAUUUCAGGAGGAACACCGGUGGCGAAGGCGGCCUGCUGGACUGCAACUGACGUUGAGGCCCGAAAGCGUGGGGAGCAAACAGG